GACCUCAAGUGAUCUGCCCGCCUCGGCCUCCCAAAGUGUUGGGAUUAUAGGCAUGAGCUACCACACCUGGCUGCCCAUUUUCACAUAGAUGGAAGCAGAGCUCCCUCCCCGUGCUAAGCUGCAGCAUGCGCUCAAUGCCACUGCCACUCCCAGUCACGGGACACCAAGGAAUGUCCUUCUGGGCUCAGGGGGCCAACUGCUGAAGGGAGAAAGCACGAGGGGCAAAGUUCCCUGGCAGCGGGAGGGCUGUCCCCCACUCAGGGCACCAUGGCCCCAGCCCUGCUGGGGCAACCCAGAGAACCCUGAGGCAGGAGACAGGGAGAGUGGUGAGGCCUUCCCCUGCACAAGCAUCCAGAACUCCUGAGAGCUCUUCAGAGUAGGAAGGGAGGUGCCAGGUGACCUCGCCUGACCACAAAUGUGAGGAACCCGAGGCCUACAGAGGAAGAGUCCAGCCAGUCCACAAACACCCACUGGGCACCAGCCAGGUGCUGGGGACACUGGGAUGAAUGUGACCAGCUCUGAAGAGGCUCCUCAUCAGGACCUGGGACUAAGAAGGUACAGCUCCGCUGAAUUGAGUAAAUGUGUCACCCACCCAAAGCAACGACCCAGAGCAAUUAACAGAUCACUUCUUCCUUUUAAGGCAUGUAUUUAAGGCUUGUCUUUCUUUGAAAACCCUCGGAGGAAAGAGAUGCAGCACUGUGGGGGAAAAAUGAAAUGGAAGAGACUUAGAUUGUCUUGGCAUUUCCAAGUGCUGGCUCUGUUCCUGGCACACAGUAGAUGUCUGAGAUAUGUUCUUUUGGUGGAUGAAAGAAUAAAAAUAUCUCCACGGCCACUUGCCCCUGCUGCCUGAAGUUCCACCAUUAUCACUGAAUCUUUUCUGGGGCUAAAGAGUAUUCCCUGUGAUGCUCUCUCAAAAUGCAGUCCUGGGCCAGGAAACUAGCUCUGGCUGGGGGUUUCCUUGCACAAAACAGCAAGGUCAGGGUUUGCCCAUGAGAUCUUCUCACUGCAUUCUCAAGACGGUGUGUCCAGACCCUGCUCUUUGACCAAGGAGUUGCAUGUUCAAAUAAGCUUAGGAAAGGCUGGCUGCACACUCUGCCACCCAUUGGGGUCCCUAAUUCGUAUUAAUACAUUAAAGACCCUGAGAAGGCCUGUUUGGAUUUAUGUGACCUAGCGUUUCCCAAAUCUGUAUGCUCAUGCAUCCUUGAAUCCAUUCCCAUGCCACGGGACUAGGGCUCCUCAGGGGACAGUUUGGGGAGUGUGGACUAGAUAGUGCGCCUGGGUCCAGGCGGGACAAGGUCUGCAGGUUGAAGGGUGUCUGUGGCUGCCACCCAGCCAGGGCCAUGCUUCCCUGCACUGACCAUUUGACAGAGGCAAAAAGUCCAACCUCAGCCACCACCACCAAUAGCUCAUGACAGAGACAGAUAAUGAACAUGGCAUCAGACAGCCUCCAAACGUAGCGCAAAGGAGGGAGAAGGUAACAGAGUGGGCCAGAGACCUGAGUGAGUUCCAACUGUGACUUUGUGCUCACUGCUGGCCAUUGGGCGGGGGGACCCCAUCCUGCUAAGCUUUGUUUUCAUCAUCUGCAAAAUGGGGAUAAUGCUAUUCUCAGGGCUGUUGUGAAGAUUGAGGUAAUGCAAGCAGAGGCAGAUUACAAACUGUCAAGUCCUGUGCCAGCAUUUGCUGUGUGCAUCAUUAUUUUACUGCAUGCAUGGCCAGGAGGGUGUGGUAAUGUCUUGAUUGAUCACAAGCCACUGCAGAGGUCCUCAAUCAGGACAGAUGGAUGGAUGGAUACAUGGAUGCAUGGAAGAAUGCACAGACAGAAUCCCCAGUGUGACACAGGCUCACCAAUGGCUGACUGGUUGAAUAGGCUGUGGGACCUCAAGCCAGUCACCUCACCUGCCUGAGCCCGAGGUUUCUCACCUGCAAAAUGAGGGAUGAAAGCGGAUCUCAUGUGGGAAAGGAGCCACUCCAAGGAGAGACUCAAACAUGACUGCCCUUGAGCUGGGUGAGUUCAGCUGAGUGGGUAGGAAGGGGAGCACCAGGCUCUGUUUUGAGGAGGGAGGCAAAACCCUACCUACCAGGAAUCACCCAUCUAACCUUGAAUUCUCGGCCUGCCCUUGGCAGUCCUGGUCUGAGAGAUGGACUCAGCUGCUACCACUGCCAGCCACCAGCAGGACCCUAUCUGCUGUCUUCCCAGGUUGGCUAGGGUCCCAGAGGGGGAGAAGCAGGAGAAGGGUCUUCAGUCAGAACUACAUAUGUCUUCACUGGAGGGACCUGGGCCCUAGAGCACAGACAUCCUUGCAGGCCCACGGUGGCCCGAAAUGGUUGCUAACUGGCCUUGGGCCACACAGUGAGACGGAGGUGCCAGGACCCAGGCCUUUAGGCCCAGCCCAGGGCUCUCUGCACGGGCCCAAAGUCACCCCUUUUGGAGCAUGCAUUAAGCACAGAGAGGAAGAACAGUGUGAAGAGUUAGGAUGAUGCACCCCCUAUCCUGCCAUGGUCAAGAGGCUCUGGCCAUUGACAGUUGAACCCCCAAGCUCCAAGGUGAAAAUCAACACCUGGUCACCCAGUUCUCUGCUUCACUCACUGCAGGCACUGACAGGGCACAUCUGGACAGAGGAGGGGCUCAGUCUGCCUCUGCAGAGUCCCCAGCAAGAGGAAGAAGGCUCCAAUUGCAGCAGAGUGGACUUCAAUUAGUCUCAAGAAAGAACUUCCUGCAGAGGCAUUAAGCAUGAACAGCAUACAGAGAAGGGGGGCAUGAUGAGGGCAACUGUAGCAUCUCCUCUGAAAUACAGGAUGCUGUCUCAUUCAUUAUGUCAUUUUACUUUCAAACCAGCCUGGAAGGUAAUCCCAGGAAGUCCUUCCUACAAAUGCAUUUUAUAGGAGAAACAACUCGUGCUCAAAGAGAUAAAAUGAUUCUUCCAGGGUCAUCCUGCCAGUAAGUGACAAAGCCAGGAUCAACAUAAGUUUUCUGUCUUCUGUAUGGUAGACACGUUGGACAGUGAUACCUGGACUUGAGCAAGCCCUGAGAAUGACCUUGUAUGGCAGGCGCACCUCAAUGCAGUUUGGUUCUAAGCUAAGGAAUCUGGGAGUAGCCAACCCGGAGAUCCACUCCUUAUCUAUGAGGAACAUCUGAGCUCUUGGCCCAUCCUAUGGAACUUGCGGGCCAAACAGAGGAUUGAGGUCUGUGGUUUGGGGUAAAUGGAGGUUGCUAGGUGGAAGUUGUUGGGGGAGGUGCUAAGUGAAAAUGCUAUAGAAAUUGCAAGCUUUUAGGCUGGGGGGCGGUAGCUCACAGCUAUAAUCCCAGCACUUUGGGAGGCUGAGGCAGGCGGAUCACCUGAAGUCAGGAGUUUG
rnacentral:lncRNA from 1 species